rnacentral:rRNA from 1 species
UACGUAGGGCGCAAGCGUUGUCCGGAAUUAUUGGGCGUAAAGAGCUCGUAGGCGGCUUGUCACGUCGGGUGUGAAAGCCCGGGGCUUAACCCCGGGUCUGCAUUCGAUACGGGCAGGCUAGAGUGUGGUAGGGGAGAUCGGAAUUCCUGGUGUAGCGGUGAAAUGCGCAGAUAUCAGGAGGAACACCGGUGGCGAAGGCGGAUCUCUGGGCCAGUACUGACGCUGAGGCGCGAAAGCGUGGGGAGCGAACAGG